GACGAACGCUGGCGGCGUGCUUAACACAUGCAAGUCGUACGGUAAGGCCCUUUCGGGGGUACACGAGUGGCGAACGGGUGAGUAACACGUGAGUAACCUGCCCACAACUUUGGGAUAACGCUAGGAAACUGGUGCUAAUACUGGAUAUGUGCUCCUGCUGCCUGGUGGGGGUUGGAAAGCUCCGGCGGUUGUGGAUGGACUCGCGGCCUAUCAGCUUGUUGGUGGGGUAGUGGCCUACCAAGGCGGCGACGGGUAGCCGGCCUGAGAGGGUGACCGGCCACAUUGGGACUGAGAUACGGCCCAGACUCCUACGGGAGGCAGCAGUGGGGAAUAUUGCACAAUGGGCGCAAGCCUGAUGCAGCAACGCCGCGUGCGGGAUGACGGCCUUCGGGUUGUAAACCGCUUUCAGCAGGGACGAAGCUUUUUGUGACGGUACCUGCAGAAGAAGCACCGGCUAACUACGUG
rnacentral:rRNA from 1 species